rnacentral:rRNA from 1 species
GCUAGAUAAGUUGAAAGUGAAAUCCUAUGGCUCAACCAUAGAACUGCUUCCAAAACUGUUUAGCUAGAGUCUGGGAGGGGAAGAUGGAAUUAGUAGUGUAGGGGUAAAAUCCGUAGAGAUUACUAGGAAUACCAAAAGCGAAGGCGAUCUUCUGGAACAGUACUGACGCUGAGGCGCGAAAGCGUGGGGAGCAAACAGGAUUAGAUACCCUGGUAGUCCACGCCCUAAACGAUGAAUGUUAGUCGUCGGGACUCUAGUAGUUUCGGUGAUGCAGUUAACACAUUAAACAUUCCGCCUGGGGAGUACGGUCGCAAGAUUAAAACUCAAAGGAAUAGACGGGGACCCGCACAAGUGGUGGAGCAUGUGGUUUAAUUCGAAGAUACGCGAAGAACCUUACCUAGCCUUGACAUAUUUUAGAACUCCGCAGAGAUGUAGAGGUGCCUUCGGGAGCUAAUAUACAGGUGCUGCACGGCUGUCGUCAGCUCGUGUCGUGAGAUGUUGGGUUAAGUCCCGCAACGAGCGCAACCCUCGUUCUUAGUUACUAACGGUUCGGCCGAGGACUCUAAGAAGACUGCCUUCGUAAGGAGGAGGAAGGUGAGGACGACGUCAAGUCAUCAUGGCCCUUACGGCUAGGGCAACACACGUGCUACAAUGGUUAGGACAAUGAGACGCAAUACCGCGAGGUGGAGCAAAUCUAUAAACCUAAUCUCAGUUCGGAUUGUAGUCUGCAACUCGACUACAUGAAGCUGGAAUCACUAGUAAUCGUAGAUCAGCUAUGCUACGGUGAAUACGUUCCCGGGUC